rnacentral:sRNA from 1 species
CGGCCAUGAUCUGCGGGCAGAUCAGGUGUACGUGACAGUCGAUGGCGCCCGCGGUCACGAUGCGGCCGUUACCCGCGAUGAUCUCGGUGGAGGGCCCGACCACCAGAUCGGGGUGCACCCCCGACAUGAUGUCCGGGUUACCCGCCUUACCGAUGGCCACGAUGCGGCCGUCACGGAUGCCGAUGUCGGCCUUGAUGAUUCCCCAGUAGUCCAGGAUGAUGGCGCCGGUGAUGACGGUGUCGGGAGCGCCCUGUGCCCGGGUGACCCGGGACUGACCCAUCGAUUCGCGCAG